rnacentral:lncRNA from 1 species
UGGUUUUCAUAGAGCUAUACAUUUAAUUUGAUUUUAUUAACUCUGUAUUUCAUGAUAACUUUUAAUGUGGAUUAAAUCUCCUGGUUAAUGUCUAUAAACAGACAACAUCUAAGGAAGUAAACCAGCGCCAUUAACAACUGAACGCACUUGCUCUGGUAUGACACUGAAGCCUCCUAACUGAGUGACUUUGUAGCUCCUUGCCCAUCAGCUCCAGCGGAGAGAAGAAAGCCAAAACCUCUGGCAGAAGAGGCUGAUAGUAUCAGCACAGCAGCAGCACAUAGAAGCUUCUGGGCACUCAUGCAGUAUUUUUCACUCAUAUUUGUUUCCUGACACAAACAUCUCUUUUAACGUUACUUCCAGAUCUCUAGGAAGAGGACAAAACUCUUCUUGGCAGGUCCUAUGAAAAAUCCAUGGACAGUCAAUCAGGUGUUUCCCCACCACCACCUAUUUGGAUGGAAGCUGGGCUUUCUAGUAUACAAAAUAACAGGAUGAGGGAAUGCGUAGCUGAUGCCUACACCUUCCUGAGCUCUAAGCAACAUCUGCAUUUCUCUGGAGUCAUACAUGGAACUAAAGAAAAUACAGAUUUUUGAGUUUAUCAGAUUGUGUGUCAAUUUAAUUUUUAAUUAAUUUUAAUUUAUUUUUGAUAAAUUUCAUUUAAUUUUUAGUUAAUAUUCAUUAAUAGAGUCAGUUGUGUUAGUCCUGUUCCCUCAAAGAUGUUCAUAAGUUUGUUUGAGUACUACCUUUUUCUUUUCAGUUUUCCUUGUGACAGGUACAAUCUGACUGCUGGAACAUCUCGUUUCCUUCCUUUUUGAUUUCUCUCCCCUUUUUCUCAUUCCUUUUACUCUUCAAUUUUUCGCUUUUCCUUUCUUUUGUUUGGUAUUUACUUGCAUCUCCAAUUAAUUCAUCCCUGUUGAUCUAGCUCUGUCCUCAGGUACAAAUACUAAAUCAUAUUACUUUCAAAUAUGGGAGUUUCUCUGUGGUAAAUGUAACCUUUAUCUAUUAUCACUUGUCUGUGCAGUGCAUCAUUAAAAAGAGAGACUUGAAAAUGAGUUGGCACAUUGUUUUUAGAGAGGU